AGGUAUAAAGAUACUUACUAGCUGCUUGUGGCAAGUUAUCCUUGUUACGAAACCUACUGCCGUGAAGAUCGGACCAUCCAAAGGACCUUUCUUGUAAUGGUCCAUAUCAUGUGGUAAUUAGAGCUAUCAUUGUCAUGGUACCUAUUGUUAUCACCCACAUAUUUAUCCUUUACCAUCUGCUACUGUUAUUGUUCAUGUCCUACAGACCACUAAAAAGCCACAAAAAAAUCCCAUAGCCUUUUCAUGGUACUAUUGCUUUGUGUGUUGCAUUCAUCUUGUUGCUAGUCACCGUUGUUGUUCUUCCGCUGUACUUUACUUUUUUUUCUGCACCCCUCGUAUGCUAUCUUGUGUUUGGUGUUUCCAAAAAAUAUCAGAAAAAAAGUGUGAAAGAAAGAGUCAAAAAAAAG
rnacentral:lncRNA from 1 species